GACGAACCGUACGAACGUUAUUCGGAAUCACUGGGCUUAAAGGGUGCGUAGGCGGUCCGAUAAGUUGGGUGUGAAAUACCUCGGCUCAACCGAGGAAUUGCGCUCAAUACUGUCGGACUUGAGGGAGACAGAGGUGAGCGGAACUUAGGGUGGAGCGGUGAAAUGCGUUGAUAUCCUAAGGAACACCGGUAGCGAAAGCGGCUCACUGGGUCUUUUCUGACGCUGAUGCACGAAAGCUAGGGGAGCGAACGGG
rnacentral:rRNA from 1 species